AAGGGAGGUGGAAAGUCAGUCUGGUUUCGCAGCUGUUUUGGGUAAAAACUGGCUCUCCUAGCAGCCCGAGAAACUCACAGUUUUGCUCCUAAGCAAACCAUUCAUCAGUGGCUUUCACUGCACAGCAACAGCGAUGGGACUCUCACAAUAUACUCAUUGUUCAGCUGGAAACCCCAUGAAGUUGUAACCUGAACCUCUCGUCCUGAGGCCAUUUGAUGGCCUUUUCAUCCAAUGGUAUCUGUGGACCCCAGUGGAGAGGUAGGUAAAGAGUUAUUAAGGCAUCUGAAAUUGCUUUCAGCAGACUGCAAAGUGUUUGGGCCAUUUCAGGCCAUAGUGGGGUGGCAGAAUGCCCAACUGCCUACGUCAAGCAGUGUUUAUAAAUUAGAAAUUA
rnacentral:lncRNA from 1 species